GGGAAUUGUUGGAAAGAAUUUCAAAGUUUCAAAACCAUCAAGGUUCCAAUGAAGCCCAAUUAUCCCAAUUGGACCAUUAGGGGAGUUAGGAUCGGCUAAAGGCUCAAAUAAUGCUGGUGGGUGAACUUGCAUUUCAAAAAUCGUUUGGGAGACAUAAUUGUAUUGGUAUGAAACAGUGAAUGAUUUAUUCCAACUUGUCUUUAAAAGCGUGUGCCUUGGGAACAAGCCUUUGACAAAAUAUUUUGAUGUUGUGAAAAUGUGAAAUGUGUAAAAGAAUGGA